ensembl:lncRNA
CAAGUAUGAAUCUCAAGAUUUCUGGGAAGUCAUAGGUAGAAUAUUUAACUUAUAUCUCAAUGAAUAUUAAAUGUAAUUAUCAUGACUUGAUUAAAUGCUAUUAACAAUUAUAGUUGUAAAUAUUACCAACUGUUUAAGAUAAAACUUAUAUGGUAGGAGUUCCUGUCGUGGCGCAGUGGUUAACGAAUCUGACUAGGAACCUUGAGGCCAGGGAUCGAACCUGUGUCCUCAUGGAUACUGGUCAGAUUCAUUUCCACUGAGCUACAAUGCGAACUCCAAGUUUUUUUUGUUUUUGUUUUUGUUUUUGUUUUAGAAUGCCUUUCCAUCAGUCUUUGAGCUCCUAUCUGGAAGUUACCUAGUCAGAGAAAUUUGGGGGGGGGGGGGGUUUGGGGGGGCUUGUGUUCCUGUGUUUCUCAUGGUCCUGGGUAUAUUUCUGGCCAUAAACACCUGACAAUUUAUCAUAUGUGGCUGAAUCUGUAACGUGUACAACAAAAAAGAAAUCAUCCUGACCUGUACGGAUGACUCGUUACCACUCCUUUUUGAAAAACUUAGCCUAUUGCACAGGAGAAGGUGCCUUUCACUAGGCCACGAAAACUGGAUCUUUCUGAGGAAAAGCGUAGGACUUUCUGAAGAAAAGACUCCUUUUUGUUGAAGGUUUGAGAGAAAAACUGAGGGCUCUUAAACCUGUGUUGACUUAAUCGCUACAAAAUAAAUAUAACCCUGAAAGGAUAUAUGUUUUCCUCCUGCUCUGUUUCCCAUUCUCUUUAGAAGAAGCCUGGCUCUGUUCCAUGUUUGGUAAAAGUUCUGAUACCAGAACCUUUAAUCCACCUGUGUCCAUUCUUCCAUGUAUCCACUAGAGGAAAGAGCUUGUCUUGAGGAACCCUUAGGAGAAUCAAGGCCUCAAUAGAGGUCGGUUAUUUUGAAGUCCUGGGGGGACAGAUGUUCACAAACUCAAACAAUGGUAGAUCUUAGAAAAAUACUGUAUUCUCAGCCCAUUUCAUCCAUGUCUGCUACCGUCGUGCAAUGAAUUCCAAAGUUGCAGACUAGUGAUUCUUUCAGGAAAGGAGUGAAAGGAAUAACCUCUCGAGAGGGUCAGAGGUGAAUGGGGGAAAAUAGGGUGUGUGUAGGUACAGCCUGUAAUCUCCCUUUCUCAGAUAUUGAUAAGCCCCCCCAGGGGGGUGUCUUUUUCCCUCUCUGCAUUGCCGGUCAGUGCUCCUACUGAGAGAUCCUGGGCUGGGAGCUUGUUUCCUGUGAGAGAGUGUAAGAAGAUAACGUUGAGGAUACCUGCUCCAGAGGGCAAUCUCCAUCGAGUUCCUGACUUGAGGCAAGCAAGCUGGCCCCUCACUAUCUUCCUUUGAUGUAUGGGUCAGAGAUGCGAAAUAUAAUGUGCAAGAUUAAUUAGAGAAUGGACCCAUUGGGUCUGAAGAUAGCCCAAUUACACUGAAAGCAUAUCUGUGCGCCCCCUGAUUCCUUAAGUCCUUUAACUCAAUUAAAUGGUUAAUUUGAAAAAUGAUGGGUGAAGUGUUAUAUGCAUUGGUGUCUCCAUGCCAUUGGGAAACCCAGUGCUUCCUUUUACACGAAUAGGCCUCCGUCUAAAAUGCCAGGAACAACUGUACAAAGAGAAAUGUUAAUAAUAAAGAGGCAGGAUAACCUUUCAACAAAAAGUAUAUUUUAUCAUUUGGCAGAUGCAGUCAUGAACAUUAAUCAUAGAAACCUGCAGAUAGUAGAAGUUUAAUAUCAAAGCUAAUGAUUUAUUUUAUGUUAAUGACUUUCUGCCAGGGCAUAAAAGACUGCUCAUAAUGGACUCUCUGCGCUGUGUUCAGUUACUAAGGCUAAUGGGAUAAUCUUUUCCCUCCCAAAAUUAAGCUUUUUGAAUUAAAUUAUGCUGUUAUUUUUCAAGGUAACUCUCCAAAAUUUACUGCAAAACUAAUCUUUUAAGAACUGACGAAAGAGGAAGAAAAAAAAAAAAA